rnacentral:rRNA from 1 species
AACGAACGCUGGCGGCGCGCCUAAUACAUGCAAGUCGAGCGAGAAGACGUAGCAAUACGUUUGUAAAGCGGCGAACGGGUGAGGAAUACAUGGGUAACCUACCCUCGAGUGGGGAAUAACUAGCCGAAAGGUUAGCUAAUACCGCGUACGCUCCUUGGACUUCGGCUCAGGGAGGAAAGCGAUACCGUGGGUAUCGCGCUCUUGGAUGGGCUCAUGUCCUAUCAGCUUGUUGGUGAGGUAACGGCUCACCAAGGCUUCGACGGGUAGCUGGUCUGAGAGGACGAUCAGCCACACUGGCACUGCGACACGGGCCAGACUCCUACGGGAGGCAGCAGUAAGGAAUAUUGCGCAAUGGGCGAAAGCCUGACGCAGCGACGCCGCGUGGGGGAUGAAGGUCUUCGGAUUGUAAACCCC